GGAGAUGGAUGUGGCCGUGGUCGUCGGCAGAGGGAAAGAGGCUGCACUGUCAGCUGUCGAAGCGGGCCGGCCAGGGUCCGGUUCCGCUCCUGGCGGGCUAUGCCCGUGCCCGUGCCGCCCGGAGCAAGGUGGGCAUCCUUGGCUCGACCACACCUGCUGCAUGGCUCUCCUGGAGGUUAAGAUGAAGAGGAACAGUAACAGCCAGCAUUUACUGAACAUUAACUCUAUUCCAGGCUCUGGGCUAGCUUCUUCCAUCAUUUGAUCAUCCCCCAAACCAUAUGAGGUACUGUGCCAGACAUUGCAAGAGUAUCCAAGGUAAAGAAAGAACGUAUUUACAUGAAGCUGUUGAGCGUAAUGGGA